GGGCGCUCAAUUAUUUUGGCCCUAAUUCUCUAAAAUAAUUCAAAUCCCAAAAUCUGUUCGUGCCUCUCUCAAAACAAAUGGCGCUCUGCUGAAGAGAAAUCCCCAAAUCCCGUCUCUCUCGCUCUCUCCUGCCUGCGUAUGGCCCCAUUCAUUCGAAGUGCCUCUGAUUUUUGCCCUAGGGCACACAGUAGCGUUCCUCCUUCCUCAGUCUCCCGCAACGACCUCCAUCCCCAGUCUCCCGCAACGACCUCCAUCCCCACCACUCUGUGCGUCACAGUUCAAGCCCUAGCUCCCUCGUCCGUUCCCAACGGUUUAUUCAUAUGUAUGAUUAGCUAGCUCGGAGCAGGUCUGUUUCUUUAGCCACGACGCAGAUUGCUAUCCUUUCAUUUCUGUAUUGGAAAGGGCUAAGGAUUGGCUUCCUCAGGAUCGCAGAUCUCGGUCCUUGAAGGGUUGUGUUACUCUCAAGAUAAAGACCCAUCAUGUUGAAAGAAAGGAGAAAUUAGCGCGCAAUUCCAAUAGAAGAUGCCAGGGUAACUCAAAGCAGCUUUUAGCCCUCAUUCAUUUUUAGUGUUGAUGAUCUAACUUUAGUUCUAUAAGGUGUCGUUGAUAGUCUAAACAGUUCUAUACAACCAUGUUCGUGUCGUUUGGCUUUGGAAGCAAAAAGAGAAAAAAAAUCAGGCAAAGAAGCAAGCUUCAACUUUGGGAAAUCUGCACAGAAAUUACCUCGAAAGGAUAUAUUUGGAUCUUUUUACUGAAGUAGUGUAGUAUAACUCUCAACUCUUUUAUGCAAUUUGUGUUGGAAUUUUUUUGAUUUACAAGCUGAUGUAAUUAAUUUUAUGCAAUGGAUGAUUAUAUUGACAAUAUUUAGCAUUUGGAUACUAUGGGCGUUGAUGAAAUACAAAAUGAAAUGGAUGUCAAUUUACAAAA